rnacentral:rRNA from 1 species
GACGAACGCUGGCGGCGUGCUUAACACAUGCAAGUCGAACGGAAAGGCCCUGCUUUUGUGGGGUGCUCGAGUGGCGAACGGGUGAGUAACACGUGAGUAACCUGCCCUUGACUUUGGGAUAACUUCAGGAAAAUGGGGCUCAUACCGGAUAGGAGAUCCUGCUGCACGGUGGGGGUUGGAAAGUUUCGGCGGUUGGGGAUGGACUGGCGGCUUAUCAGCUUGUUGGUGGGGUAGUGGCUUACCAAGGCUUUGACGGGUAGCCGGCCUGGGAGGGUGACCGGCCACAUUGGGACUGAGAUACGGCCCAGACUCCUACGGGAGGCAGCAGUGGGGAAUAUUGCACAAUGGGCGGAAGCCUGAUGCAGCAACGCCGCGUGCGGGAUGACGGCCUUCGGGUUGUAAACCGCUUUCGCCUGUGACGAAGCGUGAGUGACGGUAAUGGGUAAAGAAGCACCGGCUAACUACGUG